rnacentral:rRNA from 1 species
GUGGGGAAUCUUGCGCAAUGGGCGAAAGCCUGACGCAGCCAUGCCGCGUGAAUGAUGAAGGUCUUAGGAUUGUAAAAUUCUUUCACCGGGGACGAUAAUGACGGUACCCGGAGAAGAAGCUCCGGCUAACUUCGUGCCAGCAGCCGCGGUAAUACGAAGGGGGCUAGCGUUGCUCGGAAUUACUGGGCGUAAAGGGCGCGUAGGCGGACAGCUUAGUCAGAGGUGAAAGCCCAGGGCUCAACCUUGGAAUUGCCUUUGAUACUGGCUGUCUUGAGUUUGGGAGAGGUGAGUGGAACUCCGAGUGUAGAGGUGAAAUUCGUAGAUAUUCGGAAGAACACCAGUGGCGAAGGCGACUCACUGGCCCAAUACUGACGCUGAGGCGCGAAAGCGUGGGGAGCAAACAGGAUUAGAAACCCGAGUAGCC